AUUGAACGCUGGCGGCAGGCCUAACACAUGCAAGUCGAGCGGAUGAAGGGAGCUUGCUCCUGGAUUCAGCGGCGGACGGGUGAGUAAUGCCUAGGAAUCUGCCUGGUAGUGGGGGAUAACGUCCGGAAACGGGCGCUAAUACCGCAUACGUCCUGAGGGAGAAAGUGGGGGAUCUUCGGACCUCACGCUAUCAGAUGAGCCUAGGUCGGAUUAGCUAGGUGGUGGGGUAAAGGCCUACCAAGGCGACGAUCAGUAACUGGUCUGAGAGGAUGAUCAGUCACACUGGAACUGAGACACGGUCCAGACUCCUACGGGAGGCAGCAGUGGGGAAUAUUGGACAAUGGGCGAAAGCCUGAUCCAGCCAUGCCGCGUGUGUGAAGAAGGUCUUCGGAUUGUAAAGCACUUUAAGUUGGGAGGAAGGGCAGUAAGUUAAUACCUUGCUGUUUUGACGUUACCAACAGAAUAAGCACCGGCUAACUUCGUG
rnacentral:rRNA from 1 species